rnacentral:rRNA from 1 species
UACGAAGGGGCUAGCGUUGCUCGGAAUUACUGGGCGUAAAGGGCGCGUAGGCGGAUAGUUUAGUCAGAGGUGAAAGCCCAGGGCUCAACCUUGGAAUUGCCCUUGAUUCUGGCUAUCUUGAGUUCGGGAGAGGUGAGUGGAAUGCCGAGUGUAGAGGUGAAAUUCGUAGAUAUUCGGCGGAACACCAGUGGCGAAGGCGACUCACUGGCCCGAUACUGACGCUGAGGCGCGAAAGCGUGGGGAGCAAACAGG